rnacentral:misc_RNA from 1 species
UCUCCGUAGGUGAACCUGCGGAGGGAUCAUUACAGAGUUCAUGCCCUCACGGGUAGAUCUCCCACCCUGUGUUAUUAUACUUUGUUGCUUUGGCAGGCCGCCCGCGUGGGCUACCGGCUCCAGCUGGUAAGUGCCUGCCAGAGGACCCCAAACUCUGAAUAUUUUAUUGUCUGAGUACUAUAUAAUAGUUUAAAACUUUCAACAACGGAUCUCUUGGUUCUGGCAUCGAUGAAGAACGCAC